GAUGAAGAACGUAGCGAAAUGCGAUAAGUAAUGUGAAUUGCAGAAUUCAGUGAAUCAUCGAAUCUUUGAACGCACAUUGCGCCCCUUGGUAUUCCGAGGGGCAUGCCUGUUCGAGCGUCAUUAUAACCCCUCAAGCUCAGCUUGGUGUUGGGGCCUGCCGCACGGGCAGCCCUUAAAAUCAGUGGCGGUGCCAUCUGGCUCUAAGCGUAGUAAUUCUUCUCGCUAUAGAGUCCCGGUGGAUGCUUGCCAUUAACCCCCAAUUUUCUAUGGUUGACCUCGGAUCAGGUAGGGAUACCCGCUGAAUUUAAGCAUAUCAAUAAGCGGAGGA
rnacentral:misc_RNA from 1 species